CACUUCUAAGGAAGGCAGCAGGCGCGCAAAUUACCCAAUCCUGACUCAGGGAGGUAGUGACAAGAAAUAACAAUAAACCGGCUUAUGCCGGUUUAAUUGGAAUGAGUACAAUUUAAACAUCUUAACGAGGAACAAUUGGAGGGCAAGUCUGGUGCCAGCAGCCGCGGUAAUUCCAGCUCCAAUAGCGUAUACUAAAGUUGUUGCAGUUAAAAAGCUCGUAGUUGGAUUUCUGUGGGGACGGAGCGGCCGGCCGCAACUCGCGGUUCGAGCUAGCGCUUUCCCUACAUCCUGCCGCGAACCGUGCUACCAUUAGUUUGGUGGCGCCGGGGAUCGGCUCGAUUACUUUGAGAAAAAUAGAGUGUUCAAAGCAGGCCACAUGCCUUGAACAAGUUAGCAUGGAAUAAUAACUAAGGACUUCGGUUCUAUUUUGUUGGUGUUCGGGACUGAAGUAAUGAUUGAUAGGGACAGUUGGGGCGGUCUGUAUUCCAAAGCGAGAGGUGAAAUUCUUAGACCUUCGGAAGACAAACAGCUGCGAAAGCGUUCCGCAAGGAUGUUCCCUUUGAUCAAGAACGAAAGUUGGGGGAUCGAAGACGAUCAGAUACCGUCGUAGUCUCAACUAUAAACUAUACCAGCUAGGGAUCGGCCAACGUUAUUUCAAACCGACUUGGUCGGCACCUUAUGAGAAAUCAAAGCAUCUGGGUUCCGGGGGGAGUAUGGUCGCAAGGCUGAAACUUAAAGGAAUUGACGGAAGGGCACCACCAGCCGUGGAGCCUGUGGCUUAAUUUGACUCAACACGGGAAAACUUACCAGGUCCAGACAUAGUAAGGAUUGACAGAUUGAUAGCUCUUUCUUGAUUCUGUGGGUGGUGGUGCAUGGCCGUUCUUAGUUGGUGGAGUGAUUUGUCUGGUUAAUUCCGUUAACGAACGAGACCCCAGCCUGCUAAAUAGCGCGCGUGAGCUUUGCUCGCGGCGAACUUCUUAGAGGGACUCUGAUGCGCGAUAGCACAUGGAAGUUUGGGGCAAUGACAGGUCUGUGAUGCCCUUAGAUGUUCUGGGCCGCACACGGGCUACACUGGCGCCUGCAUCGAGCAUAUCAGCUGGCCCGAGAGGGUCUUGGCUAAUCUUUUGAACCGGCGCCGUGCUUGGGAUUGACCUUUGCAAUUGUUGGUCAUGCAACGAGGAAUGCCUUGUAAACGCGAGUCAUCAGCUCGCAUUGAAUACGUCCCUGCCCUUUGUACACACCGCCCGUCGCUCCUACCGAUGAAUGUUCCGAUGAAAUUUUCGGAGAGCACCUGUGAACUUGGCUCUGCCUUGCGAACGGGAGGCUCAAAGUCACUUAAAUCUGAACAUUUCGAGG
rnacentral:rRNA from 1 species